AUUGAACGCUGGCGGCGUGCCUAACACAUGCAAGUCGAGCGGUAACAGGUGUAGCAAUACAUGCUGACGAGCGGCGAACGGGUGAGUAAUGCUUCGGAAUCUGCCCAUGUAGUGGGGAAUAACCAGCCAAAAGGUUGGCUAAUACCGCAUACGACCUACGGGUGAAAGCAGGGGAUCGCAAGACCUUGCGCUAUUGGAUGAGCCGAAGUCGGAUUAGCAGUUGGUAGGGUAACGGCCUACCAAGGCGACGAUCCGUAGCUGGUCUGAGAGGACGACCAGCCACACCUGGGACUGAGACACGGCCCAGACUCCUACGGGAGGCAGCAGUGGGGAAUAUUGGACAAUGGGGCAACCCUGAUCCAGCGACGCCGCGUGUGUGAAGAAGGCCUGCGGGUUG
rnacentral:rRNA from 1 species